CCACCGCGGCGUUGCUGUACAAAACAUCGCGGACCUUUAUAGUGUAUACUUGGAUAUUGUGUACUGUUAUUUUCUCGUUCAUUGUAACUGCAGAAAUUAACAAAAUUAUUCAAGAGACAGUAAUAACAUUUCACAGGUGUUUGAAAGGUGACAACUCGUAUGUUCGACUGGUUCGCAAAUUUGGCCGUCUCCUGUUCAGUGUCGCUAUUCGUAGCCACUUGGUCGUUUAGGUGCAGAAGCCUCUGCCUACUCAGACACUUCAGGCCGGCCAUCCUCGUAAGACUUCCGUGAUAGGCAUGAUAAUUCGACCUCUCUCUCUCUCUCUCUCUCUCUCUCUCUCUCUCUCUCUCUCUCUCUCUCUCUCUCUCUCUUUACUGGUUGUGGGUCUGUAUUUCCGUUUAUCUCUGCGAAUUGGUAAAUACCUGAGAAAUAAAGUUAACCAGAGAAAAUGAAUUAGUUUGAGUGUAUAUUUUUUUCAGUCAUUCACACCUUCGUCAUGACACUACUGGUAUA